rnacentral:rRNA from 1 species
GAUGAACGCUGGCGGCGUGCCUAAUACAUGCAAGUCGAGCGAACGGACGAGAAGCUUGCUUCUCUGAUGUUAGCGGCGGACGGGUGAGUAACACGUGGAUAACCUACCUAUAAGACUGGGAUAACUUCGGGAAACCGGAGCUAAUACCGGAUAAUAUUUUGAACCGCAUGGUUCAAAAGUGAAAGACGGUCUUGCUGUCACUUAUAGAUGGAUCCGCGCUGCAUUAGCUAGUUGGUAAGGUAACGGCUUACCAAGGCAACGAUGCAUAGCCGACCUGAGAGGGGGAUCGGCCACACUGGAACUGAGACACGGUCCAGACUCCUACGGGAGGCAGCAGGAGGGAAUCUUCCGCAGUGGGCGAAAGCCUGACGGAGCAACGCCGCGUGAGUGAUGAAGGGCUUCGGAUCGUAAAACUCUGUUAUUAGGGAAGAACAUAUGUGUAAGUAACUGUGCACAUCUUGACGGUACCUAAUCAGAAAGCCACGGCUAACUACGU